rnacentral:rRNA from 1 species
CCUACGGGUGGCAGUAGUCGAGAAUCAUUCACAAUGGGGGAAACCCUGAUGGUGCGACGCCGCGUGGGGGAAUGAAGGUCUUCGGAUUGUAAACCCCUGUCAUGUGGGAGCAAAUUAAAAAGAUAGUACCACAAGAGGAAGAGACGGCUAACUCUGUGCCAGCAGCCGCGGUAAUACAGAGGUCUCAAGCGUUGUUCGGAAUCACUGGGCGUAAAGCGUGCGUAGGCUGUUUCGUAAGUCGUGUGUGAAAGGCGCGGGCUCAACCCGCGGACGGCACAUGAUACUGCGAGACUAGAGUAAGGGAGGGGGAACCGGAAUUCUCGGUGUAGCAGUGAAAUGCGUAGAUAUCGAGAGGAACACUCGUGGCGAAGGCGGGUUCCUGGACAUUAACUGACGCUGAGGCACGAAGGCCAGGGGAGCGAAAGGGAUUAGAUACCCUAGUAGUC